rnacentral:lncRNA from 1 species
CCCCUUGUAUGCACCUGCACCCCCUGUAUGCACCCGCACUCCUUGCACGCCUGCACCCCCUGCAUGCACCCGCGUCCGUGUGCGCCCCCCCUGCACCCACGUGCACCCCCCUGUGUGUGUGUGCACCCUGCUGCGUGCACCUGCACCCACCUGCACGAGUGUGCACCUGCACCCCUUGCACCUGCAUGUGCGUGCACAAUAACCCUGCACGCGUGUGCACCUGCAUGGGUGUGCUUCCUCACAUGCACCUGCACCCACGUGCACCCCGAUGCGUGCACCUGCACCCCCUGCAUGCAUGCGGCAUCGCCUGGUGUGCACCUGCUUGCACACGCUUGCACACGUUUGCACCCCUUGCACGUGUGCAUCUAUGGCCCUGUGCCUCCUGCACCCGUGUGCGCACCGUGCAUGCACUUGCACACCAUUGCACUUGUGUGUGCAACCCAUGUGCAUGCACCUGCAUCCGUGUGCACACUUUGCAUGCACUCACACCCCUUUGCAUGUGUGUGCAACCCCGUGUGUGCACCCUGUGCAUGCACCUGCACCUCUGUGCAUGCACCAGCCCCCCCUUUGCACCCACGUGUGCAGCCCCCUGCAUGCACCCGUGUGCACCCUGUGCAUGCACCUGCACCGCCUUGCACCCACGUGUGCAGCCCUUGCACCAGCACCCUCACCCGGCUACCCUCGUGCAACCCCUGCACCCACUUGUGCAUCCCCUUGCACGCGCGUUUGCACACCUGCACGUGCUGUUUGCAAGCGUGCCCCCCCCCCCCCCCCGUCUCUCUUUUAUGGGGGGCAUGUCGGGGGGGGGGGGGGCAAAAGGGGGGUGCAGGAGAAGGGAUGCAUGAGUGUGCAAGGCCGUGCACGAGUGUGCAACGCACGAG